rnacentral:rRNA from 1 species
CGUGUAGGCGGUGCGAUAAGUCGGGCGUGAAAUCUCCAGGCUUAACCUGGAGGGGCCGUUCGAAACUGUCGUGCUAGAGUGCGGGAGGGGGAAGUGGAAUUCCCGGUGUAGCGGUGAAAUGCGUAGAUAUCGGGAGGAACAUCUGUGGCGAAGGCGGCUUCCUGGACCGCAACUGACGCUGAGGCGCGAAAGCUAGGGGAGCAAACAGGAUUAGAUACCCUGGUAGUCCUAGCCCUAAACGAUGAACACUGGGUGUAGCCCUUCACGGGGCUGUGCCGAAGCUAACGCAUUAAGUGUUCCGCCUGGGGAGUACGGUCGCAAGGCUGAA